rnacentral:lncRNA from 1 species
AUGCAAAUGCACGGUGAGAGACAAGCGCCGCCCAUUAUGCAAAUGUUCCGGGGGUGGGUGGGGCGUGCUCUGCGUGCCGGGAGCACAUGGCCGGGUGUGUCCGUCUGUCGGUCUGUCCUGGACGCAGCAGUGUGUCUGUGUGUGUGUGCCUGUCCCGGCCGUAGGGGUGUCCAUCUGUACGGUGCCCGGCCGUGCCAGCGGUCAGGCAGCCCGCAGCGCAAGGGCGCUGGGAGCCUGGGUGUUCACCGGACCCGGAUCUGCGUCUGUCCGGGCCGUCUGUCCGGCUGUGGGUGUCAGGGUCCGUCACGCCUGAGUGUCACUCUGUGCUGGCCACAUGGGGCCUGCCCAAGCUCCCGGCGCGCCCCGUGUGUAGCAGCUGGGCACGGGGGUGCUCUGGGCCGGACGCGGAGGCGGUGCCGGAGGGAGCCGGAGCCGGGCGGCUCCUGCACUGGCAACACCGGGUGCUGGUUGCAUCAGGCGUCAAGUGGCCCCAACGGCCUAGGGCACCAUCAGAGCCGUGCCCGGGCUCAGACCCGCCCCGCGGGGCCGCAGCGCCUGGGGGAGCCGCGGGCCCGGUUGCGAUCGGGGACAGGGGCAAGGGCGGGGCCGGGCCGGGGUCGGUCCCGGCGGGCCCGAGGUCGCACAAUGGCGACGCCGGUCUGCGCAAGAUGGCGGCGGGGAGGCGGGGCCGUCCUCGCUGCCCGCGGGCCGUGCAUUGCGCAUGCGCCCUCCGUGCCGUCGCCGGACGCAUGCGUGCGCCGCCGCGCGCCUCGAGCUGCCGGGCCGCGCGGGAGGCACCAUGCGGCCAGCACGGGGGAGUACGGCGGGGGCAUCAGUGCCCGCCCGCAGCAUUGCGCCGUGCGGGGCAGAGGAGACGGCCUGACCGAAGGUUUAGCUCUGCUGAGUGCCCAGCUGAUGACGGCCCGCUCCGGGCUGCCCCGGAGGUUGAGGCCAAGCUCCGCGUUAUGUAACGCUCUCCCCCUCCCCGGCUGCAGUGGUUCUGCCCCCCCGCCCCCGCGGUGCGUAUUGCGCUCGCCAUUGGCUGGGAGCGGUAGCGGGGCGGGGCGAGGAGGCUAUAACUAG